UAAAAACAAAUAGCAGCAUGUAUAGGUUCCAAAAUAUCCAUAUUUGGAUAUUUUGGAACCUAUACAUGCUGCUAUUUGUUUUUA